UGGGGAAUUUUGGACAAUGGGCGAAAGCCUGAUCCAGCAAUGCCGCGUGUGUGAAGAAGGCCUUCGGGUUGUAAAGCACUUUUGUCCGGAAAGAAAUCCUUGGCUCUAAUACAGUCGGGGGAUGACGGUACCGGAAGAAUAAGCACCGGCUAACUACGUGCCAGCAGCCGCGGUAAUACGUAGGGUGCAAGCGUUAAUCGGAAUUACUGGGCGUAAAGCGUGCGCAGGCGGUUUGCUAAGACCGAUGUGAAAUCCCCGGGCUCAACCUGGGAACUGCAUUGGUGACUGGCAGGCUAGAGUAUGGCAGAGGGGGGUAGAAUUCCACGUGUAGCAGUGAAAUGCGUAGAGAUGUGGAGGAAUACCGAUGGCGAAGGCAGCCCCCUGGGCCAAUACUGACGCUCAUGCACGAAAGCGUGGGGGAGCAAAACAGGAUUAGAUACCCUGGUAGUCCACGCCCUAAACGAUGUCAACUAGUUGUUGGGGAUUCAUUUCCUUAGUAACGUAGCUAACGCGUGAAGUUGACCGCCUGGGGAGUACGGUCGCAAGAUUAAAACUCAAAUGAAUUGACGGGGUCAUAGCUGUUUCCU
rnacentral:rRNA from 1 species